rnacentral:rRNA from 1 species
UACGGAGGGUGCGAGCGUUGUCCGGAAUCACUGGGCGUAAAGGGCGCGUAGGCGGCCCGCGCAAGCGUGCGGUGAAAGCCCGGGGCUCAACCCCGGGUCGGCCGUGCGGACUGCGGGGCUCGAGCACUGUAGGGGCGGAUGGAAUUCCGGGUGUAGCGGUGGAAUGCGUAGAGAUCCGGAAGAACACCGGUGGCGAAGGCGGUCUGCUGGGCAGUAGCUGACGCUGAGGCGCGACAGCGUGGGGAGCAAACAGG